GAGCAAUGGGGCCAUAUGUCAGCACAGCCCGAGGCAGCCAGGGAGCCCCCAGCCCUCCUCUCAGCAAGCCCACCCCCACCGUGAGAGCAGAAAGCAGCGCUUCCCACACAGAGACACCUGGGGAGGCUGCCAUUCGCCAUUGCCACCAGAGCCCAAGAGCAGUGGAUUCCCUGUGUCCCCGAGAGCACUGUGGUCACUGAUGAGGUAAGAGGGAGUAACAGGAGGUUGGCUCUGUUGUGAUGUGCCAGCCAGAGAGAGGAGACUUCUGCCCUACAUGAGGAAGCCUUCCUGCCCCUCUCCCUUUCUCCUUCUCCGUGAAACCCUGUUGUGCUAUUGAGCUCUCACACCUACUGCCUUGAACUACAGUCCCUCAUCUGUCCAGGAUACCUGGGCUGUGAAUAAACUUGCCCCCUCCUUGCCCACUUUCUUCUGUGUACUUAACUGACCUUUGAGCAGCAUGUAGCUUGGACUCCAGUUAAUUUUCUUUCACUUCUGCCUUUCCCCUGUGACGUUGGACAUUCUUAAAUUUCAAUGUUAAAAGAAAAACAAAAGCAAAACUGUCAAGGUAAAUCACAGUGUGUUAGAUUUGAGCUCUUCUCUGAAAUCUCCUGGGGUUUGGUUAAGUCCUCCAUUCCAGCGACUACUGACACUUUCCUUCUGCCUCAUUAUUUCCUGCCUGUGAACUGUGGGUGCAGAGGGAAUGUGGUAGGCCAUCCCCUUGUGUAAUGACAUCAUCUGACUCCGACCCUGGCACUCUCUCCUUUCCACACAGCCCUGUCAUUCAUUCAUUUAUUUCUCCUUCCAAGUGCACUGUUUAAAAUUGAGUCUUUUUGUUUAAGAUGCUAAACAAAACAUAUCAUGCCUGGGUUUGGCAUGAUUUGUUUUUAAUAAACUGAGAACUGCUUC
rnacentral:lncRNA from 1 species